ACGGGUGAGUAACGCGUGAGCAACCUGUCCUUCACAGGGGGAUAACACAGCGAAAGUUGUACUAAUACCGCAUGAGACCACAGCGGGACAUCCCGCAGGGGUCAAAGGAGCAAUCCGGUGAAGGGUGGGCUCGCGUCCGAUUAGAUAGUUGGUGAGGUAACGGCCCACCAAGUCGACGAUCGGUAGCCGACCUGAGAGGGUGAUCGGCCACAUUGGGACUGAGACACGGCCCAAACUCCUACGGGAGGCAGCAGUGGGGAAUAUUGGGCAAUGGGGGAAACCCUGACCCAGCAACGCCGCGUGAGGGAAGAAGGUUUUCGGAUCGUAAACCUCUGUCCUUGGUGAAGAGGAAGAGACGGUAGCCAAGGAGGAAGCCCCGGCUAACUACGUGCCAGCAGCCGCGGUAAUACGUAGGGGGCGAGCGUUGUCCGGAAUGAUUGGGCGUAAAGGGCGCGUAGGCGGCCCGGUAAGUCUGGAGUGAAAGUCCUGCUUUUAAGGUGGGAAUUGCUUUGGAUACUGUCGGGCUUGAGUGCAGGAGAGGUAAGUGGAAUUCCCAGUGUAGCGGUGAAAUGCGUAGAGAUUGGGAGGAACACCAGUGGCGAAGGCGACUUACUGGACUGUAACUGACGCUGAGGCGCGAAAGUGUGGGGAGCAAACAGGAUUAGAUACCCUGGGUAGUCCACACUGUAAACGAUGAAUGCUAGGUGUAGGGGGUAUCGACCCCUUCUGUGCCGCAGUUAACACAAUAAGCAUUCCGCCUGGGGAGUACGGCCGCAAGGUUGAAACUCAAAUGAAUUGACGG
rnacentral:rRNA from 1 species